rnacentral:rRNA from 1 species
UACGUAGGGUGCAAGCGUUGUCCGGAAUUAUUGGGCGUAAAGAGCUCGUAGGCGGUUUGUCACGUCGGAUGUGAAACCCUGAGGCUCAACCUCAGGCCUGCAUUCGAUACGGGCAGACUAGAAUUCGGCAGGGGAGACUGGAAUUCCUGGUGUAGCGGUGAAAUGCGUAGAGAUCGGCAGGAACACCCAGGGGGAAACCAGUCGACUGGGCAUCUACUGACGCUGAGGUGCGAGAGCGUGGGGAGCGAACCGG